UGGGGCGUAGCCAAAUGGUAAGGCACGGGACUUUGGUUCCCGCAUUUCCAGGUUCGAAUCCUGGCGCCCCAG
rnacentral:tRNA from 1 species